rnacentral:lncRNA from 1 species
UUUUGCAGACAAAGGCUGGAGAUGCCAAGAAGAAGUAAGGGGGAAGUUGCUUGCUUGCCAUCUUCAUCUUGUUUGGCUUUGGUUUGUUAGGGUGGGUUCCUUGUGGCAAUGCUGAAUGUUUAACUAGAAGUAGAGAGGGUUUUGCCAGUUACCCAGUACGUUGAGUUUCUCGCUGUGCCUUGUGUUCAGUUUUGGGGUACCUUGUCAGACACUAGAAUAUAUACUUGGUUAUUAUUUUGAUUUAUAUUUUGUGUCUACUGAUGAGAAGUUGGAUGCAAGACACUGUCUGCUGCUCCCUCUAAGACUGUUCAUCUUUAAGGCUUUUUUUUUACAAAAUUUAUAUAAUGUACUGUGUAAGAAUUUUUCUCACUAACGACGUGUUUUUUAUUUACAAAAUUUAAAGUGAUCUCGCAAAGUGUCGUUGGUAUGGUCAAUCGACCAAAGGCCAGCGAGACAACAAGAUGCAACCCUUGUUACACUUGCACACGAAAACCCGUUUAGGGCUGUGGCAUUGGUGCUGCAGUAACCAAAAAUAGAGCUACGGUACAUCAGGCCAACUAAGUAUCUCCACAUCCUACUUCUCUGUUUAGGUAAUUAUCAAAUAUCAUAGUAAUAUUUUGUUAAUAACUCUAGCAACACUACCUAAAAUAGAUCCUUCCAAAUCCAUCCUUGUAGAGGAUGACAUGUGGGACUCAUCUGUCAUCCUCUUCUUCAUCUCAUGGCCCAUGGACGAACUUGGCCGUCCUCGUCGGUCGCAUCACGCACGGAAGGGGAGCCGCUGGGAAGGGGAACCGUUGGCGUCGAGGAGGUGAGAUGCUACGUCAGGCUUGGCCGUUGCUGUCGAGCUCUUGCAAUGCCAGGAUGGCUGGGAAUGAGAUCCUCUGCAGUCACCCAAAUCGACUGCACCCUACAGUCAGGGACAUCGGACCCUUCAUAAAGAUCGAACGGCGAACAGCUCCCAACAAGCUUCCAUACGUUGGGCCUUGGCCCAUCUCAGCCCAAGCCACCACGCUAGCUAGCUCAUCAUGGCAACUUCCUUCGCCUCUGUCCUUGUCUUGCUGGUUGCCGAGCCGCCGUGCCAUAGAACAUCUCGAUCUUGGCCGCCAGUGCUGCUAAGCUCGGCGAAAAGCGAGAUGAAGGAAGUGUUGCGCUUGGGGCAGACCACAACGAUGUCGCCGUGGCCCAGGAGACGCGCCAUGGCGGCGUCGUCCCUGGCCAUGCGCACAAUCGCGCCAAUCAGGGAGAUGAGGUCGGACACGCGGCUUAGGUUGUAAGGACACGGCGUGCGCAGGGCGGUCUAGCGCGAUGGACAUGUAUGGCGGUUGCUCGCGUACAGCUACCUGCACCCGGUGGAGGAGCCGCUGUUUUCGUCGCCACCUGUGUGCAGGAGCGAGACGCGGAGGCGCCACGACUGGCCCAAUGCAGCCAGGAGCCCUGUGAAGGAGGAGGGAGUCAGGGAGACAGGGUGGGAACGCUGCACGCCAGCAGCAACCAGGACACAGCAACGGCGUGCGACCCUCGACGACGAGGACGGCGUCGGCGCGGGGCUCUUGAUGAGGGGAUGGAGAUGGUGACGCGGUAGUCGCUCACAAUGCUGGCCAGUAAGGCAGCAAGGCGGAAGACAGCAACUGCGAUUUCACCAUGGGGACCUCUCGAUAGGACCUGGGCUAUGGUGGGCCUUGAAUUUGUGCGGCCUAUGUGUCACUUUGGCAGAGCAAUCGUUGGAUCAGCACGGAACGGUGCAGAUGACUUGACUGUAGGAUGCAAUCGGUUUGGGUGACUGCAGAGGAUCUCAUUCCGGAUGGCUGGGCCGGUCAGGCAGCCGUGUCAGGGAGGCGACACUAGGGAGGGAUGGCCGUGUCGGGGAGGGAUGGUGCGGCAGCUGUGUCAGGGAGGCGACGCUAGGGAGGGAUGGCCGUGUCGGGGAGGGAUGGUGCUCGUGCAUGCACAAGCAUAUGAAUCCGUUCGCUUAUCUUGUAAAAGUCGUAUUUUUUCUGUUACCUAGCAGUGUUUUUCUCUUAUAAUAAAUUAACGAAUAAUACUUUUCGUCAUAAUUUUUUAGAUAAACGAACAGAGAAGGAGGAAAUUUUGCACGAUAGAGUAGGAAGCCAACACAAAUAGGGGGUUAAAGGGGGAAAAGUAGGAGUCAACAAAAGAAGAGGGUGUAGUAGAGGAUCUGUUGGAGCUUUUUUUUAUCCUACUACCUAAAACUCUCUUUACUCACAUGAAACUCUUAUCAUCUCUCUCUUUGUGUCACAUUAGCAUACUUAAUGUCCAUAAAACUUUAAUGAAACUCUAUCGAAACUGACCUAGGGUACAGCCGCCAAAAGAAAGAAAAUAAACAAACCCAUGAGAGUACCAUUGGAUCCAUUUGUAAUGUUUCCACUGAUCAGGAGCAAUAUAUUUGUCAGUUCAAAAAGACCUGGAGCUACUAGCAAGAUGCUGCAAUCCACACAUAGCAGUAGACUACUAGUACUAAGCUAGUACUGCUCCUUCAAUCUUCAUGCUGCUGGUAUCGCAUUCAGCGCGGAUUGAGUGACUUUCCUUCGUAAGUCACGACGUAACUUUCGUUUCAUCAUGUGCGUCCAACACCGAUCCAAGGGCUCUUAUCCAUACAAAGCAAAAACAACAUCACGUGCGGGAGUUAAGCAGGAGCAGAGAAGGGAGCAGAAGCAUUCGCCGCCGCACGGCAAGGCACAGGAGCACUGGGACGGCGCAGGACGACAGGGCAGGACGCCUCAACUCCUCUGUGCAGCGGGCUGCCGCUGCUGCUCGGCACAACACGCGAGAAACAACAGCCAUGAGAGGACGCAGGCAAGAGCAUAGGGCCGUCGGCGAGCUCGCAUCCAGCACGACCCAUGUAGAAGGCGGCAUGACAAACAAGCGGCCGACGCAGAGAGCUUGGGGUCAGCGUGGCCGAGUGUGCGCUGAGAGCUGCUGGCACAGAGGGUGGCGCGAUGUGCUCUCGGCCAGCGCCACGAGUGUGUGCAAAACCAGGGCGGUGCGACGAUCGAUGAGUGCUGCGAGCGAGCGCAGACUGUGCGGAGACCAGCGCGGAGAGUGACGAGGCGAGCUCGCUGCCCUCGCUCCCAGCGCGGGGAGCGUGCGAGGCCGAGGUGGAGGGCGGCGCGACAAGAGAGCGGUCGACAAGGAUACUGACGCGGCGAGCUUGCGACCGGCAUGCGCAGAGCGCGGUCGGGACAGAGGGCGGCGCAGCGAGCUCACGGCCAGCACCGCGAGUGUGCGCGGCCGGGGCGUAGGGCGGCGUGACGAGAGGCGGCCAACACGAUCUCGAUGAGCCGUGAGCGCGUAGGAUACAGACUCAACCGCGCACGCCGCCACCGCCCAUCAGUGUGCGAUAUUGAAUGACAUGGCGAGAGCCAGCACGGUCCAAACAGAGAUGUCCUGACUCGAUGGAGAGAUUUCGAUGCAGAGACAGCAAGCGCUGCUCCGGCUCCCGCGGUUGGGAGGAGCAGCAGCCUUGCUCCACCGGCAGCUCGCCCGCAUGCGACCAGAAAGUUGAGCGCGAAGAUGGCCAGGUUGAAGCAGCUUGCCCACGUGCGACCAGAAAGUUGAGCGAGAAGAAAGUUUAGCGAGAAGAUGGCCAGCUUGAAGAACACCGUGACUGAGAAGACGAUGGAGACGGCGACAACGACCGGACAGAGAUGUUGAGCGGCGACGGCAACAAGCUGCUCCGCGUGCAGCAGCAUGGCGGAGCCGAUGCAGAGUGCAAGGAAGAGGAUGGGGAGCGGAGAUCUUGUCCCGGAGCCGACUGGCGCUUCUCCAGCAGCAACAGUUGGGGCGGUUAGGAGAACUCCUCGGACUGGUGUGCCUCCAUGGACGACUCUUCCCUUCGCUGCCCUUCACAAAAGAAAUAGAGAUUAUAUGCCUGGAUUGCUUGCAAGCAUUGUGAGCCAUUGGAUCUCUCUUGAAUGGUGGAUUUACAAGCGAAAGUUACGUCGUGACUUCGUUGAGCAACGUUACUGAAUCCGCGUCCGGCUAAGGAAGCAAACAUGAAAAUUUUGAAGAGCACAGAGCACUCUAGUAGUACUAGGGCCUUGUUUUAGUUCUGAAAAGUGAAAAGUUUUCGGUACUGUAGUACUUUCGUUUGUUUGUGACAAAUAUUAUCCAGUCAUGGACUAACUAGGAUCAAAAGAUUCGUCUCGUGAUUUACAGUUAAACUGUGUAAUUAGUUUUGUUUUCGUCUAUAUUUAAUGUUGGAUGCAUGUGCCACAAGAUUCGAUGUGACGAGGAAUCUUGAAAUUUUUUUGAUUUUAAGGGUGAACUAAACAAGACCUACCUACUAUACUUGUCAUCAUAUUCCGUACGCCAUAUACUAGCAUAGUACUAGCUACUAGUUUGAGGCGACGCAGUUCAGGCCCAACCCAUCCACAAGGAUUUUUUUAUUUUUAAUCCUUUUUUAAACAAAUUCUAAAUUUGACACUGAAAAUAUUUUUUCUAAAACUAACCCUUUUGGCUGCGUCAUCAUACAUGACGCGACAUUAUAACACUGUAGCACCAUGCAUAGUGGCGCGGCAGGGGUGGCCAUGUGGCUCAGGUGGCGGCCCUGCCACGCCACCAUACGUGACGGUGCCGCACCCCAGAUCUUUGCGCGGCAAGGCCAAAUAAGAGUCUGCGCGGGCGCCCGGGCGGCCCAGUUUCUUUCGGCCGCCCGAGCCACCCUCUCCCUCCCCUCCUCUCCCUCCCCAACCCCCCAGCACCUUUCCCCUAGCCUCCUUCCCUCCUCUCUCUCCCCACCCCUCCCUCCCCACCCUCUUCCCGCCUUUCGGCUUCCUCGUUUUGUUGCAUUGUUAUGGAGGUAUUCAUCUUGUCUUUAAUUUUGAAAAAUUACUUUCUUGGUACAUAGUAUUAAUUGUACUUUGUGUUUGUUGAAACAAUUAUUUAGAUGAACGACAUGUAUCGUGAAAGCUAUUGGAACAAGCAGGGUCGUCCUCGAGAAUUAUACCCAGACGUGUCUAGCAAAGAUGCACCAGUGCCUCCUGGCCUCCCUGUCCCCAGUUGUGAUUGUGGUCGUCCCGCCGAUGUUAUGCAAUCUAGACAUCCGUAGACGGUGGCGCAUUGCUUCUACACAUGUAGUAGUCAUAGUGUAAGUAAUUGUCACUUUAGAUUAUGUUGUUAAUUUAUAUUACUUGGUUAGUAACACAAUCUUCGAGUAUUAUUUUGUAGGGACAUGAGAGGUGUUUUUUCUUUCAAUGGAUAGAUGGUUCAAACAAGUUUGACCCAAGGUACCUCAUCUUCCCUGGUUGAGGCACUCAUCACCAGCGUGAGCACUUCAAACGGUGGGUUCCACCUCCGCCUAACCCUCCACAAGCUCCUGAGAAGUUGUCAUCAUAUAUACUUGUCAUCAUAUAUACUUGGUUAUUAUUUUGAUUUAUAUUUUUUGUCUGCUGAUGAGAAGUUGGAUGCAAGACACUGUCGCUGCUCCCUCUAAGACUGUUCAUCUUUAAG